rnacentral:rRNA from 1 species
UACGUAGGGCGCAAGCGUUGUCCGGAAUCAUUGGGCGUAAAGCGCGCGUAGGUGGCUUCGUAAGUCCGUUGUGAAAGUCAAAGGCUCAACCUUUGAAAGCCGAUGGAUACUGUGAAGCUAGAGUACGGAAGAGGCGAGUGGAAUUCCUGGUGUAGCGGUGGAAUGCGCAGAUAUCAGGAGGAACACCAAUGGCGAAGGCAGCUCGCUGGGACGUGACUGACGCUGAGACGCGAAAGCGUGGGGAGCAAACAGG